AAAUUAUUUUAUCUAAAUAAUUUAAACUUAACUAGACAUCUCUAAGUUACAGGACUUUAACUUUUUAGUAUUUAUGAACAUGUUAUCCUCAAAGAGCAAAAACUGUUAAAUUUACUACAUUUGUUUGCUAGUUAUUUACAUCCCGGAUUUUAUUUUUCAUUAAACUGUACGGGUACUUUAGCAGUUAUUAGGAAAUGUUAUUGGUUUGUUAUUCCCAAGAUAAUGUCAGACAUAGCUCUACUUUAUGUGAGCUAAUUUAGUCAGACCUAAGAUUAGCCAGGGUCAGUUGUAGAAACCGAGAGAGAGCUGGCGGAGAUAUGUUUGUUUGUGUGUGUGUGUGUGUGUGUACACUGCCUGGCCAAAACAAAGUCACCACCUGGAUUUAACUAAGCAGGUACGAGCUUCCUAUUGGAUAACUGCUUUAUAGACGACUAUUUUUCAGCUGCCACAAGUUAUUCAACCCCAACUGGUGUGUCUCAUUUCGUAAACAGCCACGUGGAAAGACACAUCUGGUGAUGGAAAAGAUGUUAGUCUGUGUGAGAAGGGUCAGAUCAUUGGCAUCAGGCAGAGAACACAUCUAAGGAGAUGCAGAAAUGACUAAAACUGGAUAAGAACUGCCCAACGUGUUAUUAAAAACUGGAAGGUUAGUGGGGACCCAUCAACCAUGAGGAACAAAUGUGGCCCAAAAAUUGUGAAUGAUCAUGAUCAGCAAUCACUUAAACGGAAGCUUUGCAACGUUUUCAUAUUUUUAAAUAAUUGUCUUGAGCAAGUAUGUUCUGAAAUGACCCUUUAAAGGGUUAGUGAAAAGUCACCUAGGCUCCUCCGCCCCCUGUGGCCAGAAUACCACAUUUGCAACGUCAGAGUAUCCGAACCAAUCCCCUGAAGGCACAUAUCUCAUGCAAAGCAGUAAAUUUUUACAGAAAUUCAUGUUUACAACCAAGUAAAACGAGCUAUACCUGUUUAUCCUUUAUUGUAACAUGGUCGUCAUGGUGGAGCCUCAGAGGAGACAAAGAAAACAUUUAUCUAAUGAAGUUAAAAAGAAUGUCCGACCACAAUAGCAGUCAAACAAGAGUCAACAUUGGGACUUUUCUGAAUCAUGAGAGCUCGAAGACAAAUAAUGAUUCAAACUGGAGGCAGACCUAUUGAUCAUCCUAUUGUGCUUGAUCAGUCCUCCACAGAGAAGUGAACCUGUUGAUAACUGAGCUGCCGUCCCAUACAGUUUGGUUUAUUUCUGAUCCAGUCUAGUGCUUUAUCAUUCUUAUAAAUUAAAAAGCCAACUGUUAAAUAAACUCCACAACAUUUAUGUCUUAUUUUUUUAUCAAGUCAACCACUCCGUGCCAUCUAGCUGUUAAUGCAGACUUAAGGAUGCCCUUCAUUUGUAUGGUUGGAUACUUCAGCACUUGAGUUUUUAAUUGAAUUCAUGUGCAGUUAAACAGCACUGAGGAAUUGAUUAUUUCCUGAUGAUGAAUGACAAGAUUCAGAACCCAGUUCUUCAAACAGUCUUGUUAAUAAGAGGCAAAGAUUCUAAGUUUGAUGCUCUGCUAUUGUCAUUAGCUAGAACUUCAGUAACAGUGACGUUAAGCAAGUUGGGUCCAUUUAUCUUGAUGCUUCUACAUUCAUUAAUCAUCUGGUAGGACAGCGGUUGUACUAAGGCAGGUGAAACAGAGUUCCAGGUAUUCAGGCUGCUGCUCUGGGGGAGAGGAUGCUGGCGUUUGUUGUUCACCACGUCUUUGCCCGUGAUUUUAAAUUGUUUAUAACUGCUUUCAUUUAUUUUUUGUUUUAUAUUUUCUGUGUGGUUUUAUAGUUUCACAUUUCAUUAGCUUUUUGCAUCAAGUAUCCAUGGACAUCGACUAUUGGUCCUACGUUUUAUCUACUUAGCAGUGGUGAAACUAGGUAACUACGCUCCUACCUACAGCAGAAAACUUGCUCCACCUGGAAAAGGGCCUUUCUGGUUGCAUCUAACAUAUCUCCUUUAUGGCACUUCAACACUAGCAUUGACUCCACUUCACCUGCUCAUUUAGGUCGUCUUGAAUUUUCCGGCGUGCAACCGGACGCCUUUUCAGCCCUCUUCCCGAGGUGGUUUGCCUAGAGCCGAACUGGUCCAGCUCAAAAUCGCGCGUACUAUUAAGCCUGCUGUACACGAGAGCAAUCUGCUGAGCAAAUGGCCUCAAAUGACCAUUUGCUCAGCAGAUAACACGCUGUGUGCACCCAGUGUUCUCUUAAGUUUUCUGCCUGAUGAGACGCUGAGGUGAAAAUUUCACCGGUUUGAUAUUUUCUGCCUCACAGGGGAUAAUAACGUGGUGUGUGUGCACUACAUGAGCUGCCGGCUGAGCUAAAAUAUUCUAGUGGCCAAUCAAAGCACGUUCUCCGCUCACAUGAUUCCAAGAUGUCAGCCAAAAGCAACACACGCUCACAACCAACUUUGUUUAAGGGAGACACCACAGAUUUUUCCGAGCGUCCUUUUCCCCGCCCACGUACUUGGAGAUUUCCCCAUUCCUGAGAAGUGGUUGAACAAACCCUACCGGUGCGGGAGCCGGACCGAACCCUGUUUGGUUUGUGCUGGCCCAGGUGGGAAACUACCUUUUGAUGAGCAAACUCAUUCAGUUCCACCAAUGGUUCAGAUCCUGAUACCAACAGUGUGAGCAAAUGUUGAUUGGCUUGUACUCCUUCCAUGUUCAUCAUGGCAUUUAGCUACUCUAGCUUGCAACUCAGCCAAUUUAAUCCUGUAUCGACUCCUGGAAUUAAGAUCCCCAUCAUCAAAAAACUAGGACUUCUUCGCCACCCCGUUAUAUUCAUAGAGGCUCAGGCAAAAAUUCUUCUUCCGUAACCAGCUGAGCAGCUCGGCUACAAAAAUUCCUACAAACUGCGACAAAUACAGUAUAAAAAAAAAUGUUUAAAGCACAUUAUGAUGUACAGUGGGAUGCAAAAGUUUGGUCAAACUUGUUAAUCUUUAUGAUUUUCAGUUAAAUAUAUCAUAUAAGAAGCACACACGGUGAUAAUUGAGAAAUGAAACAAAUUUCAUAGGAUUUACGUGCAAUAAUUGUUUAAACAAAAUUAGGCAGGUGCAUACAUUUGGGCACUGUUGUCCUUUUAUUGAUUCCAAAACAUUUAGAACUAAUUUUUGGAACUCAAAAUAGGUUUGGUAAACUCUGUGACCCUUGACCUCCAUACACAGGGGAAUUCAAUUAUGAGAAAGCGUAUUUAAGGGGGCCAGUUGUAAGUUUCCCUCCUCUUUGAAUAUUCUCUGAAGAGCAGCAACAUGGGGUCUCAGAACAACUCUCACAUGAGCUUUCCCCCAGUGCAGGGACUGAGAAUCUUGUCAAAGUUGAGGGACACAUUGAUUCCAAUCAAUAUUAGCAGAUUCUGGAGACCAAUGUACGGGAAUCAGUGACAAAGCUGAAGCUGUGCCGUGGCUGGACCUAUAAACGACCCUAAACACUGCUCAGAAUGUACUUAAGACAUUCAUGCAGAGGAACAAAUACAGGAAUGGCCAUCUCAGUCCCCAGACCUGAAUUUAAUUAAAAAUCUGUGGUUUGAGUUAAAGUAUCUUUCCGGAGUUUUCCCCUUUGAGAAUAUAUGUAUGAUUUGUCAGAAAA